GAUCGCGUAGCUCAGUUGGCAGAGCAUUGGGCUAGUAUUCCAAAGGUCGUAGGUUCGAUUGGAUCGUUCCGUGGACA